rfam:Herpetosiphon aurantiacus DSM 785, complete genome.
GGGGAUGCUUGGUUUCGACAGGGAGGGCCAAUCGUAAGUGGCAAGCCGAGACGCUGAGCCUCGUUAAAUCGGCAACGCCAUUAACUGGCAAAAACACUUUCCGCGCUCCUGUAGCGCUUGCUGCCUAAUUAAGGCAACACGUCUCUACUAGCCUCAGCCCGAUGGGCUUGUAGCGGCGACACUUAGUCGGGUCGCUCCCCUAGUUAUGUCUGUGGGCUAGGGGCUAAGAUUAACAGGCUGGUCGUGGCCCGCUUUGUCUAUCGGGUGGUGCACCGAUAAGAUUUAAUCAAUAGACUACGCUUGUAGAUGCUUGCGGUUUAACUUUUUGGACGCGGGUUCGAUUCCCGCCAUCUCCACCA